UUUCAAGAAGAAAUUUUGUCAAUCUUCGGAACAUUUUUAAUUCCGAAGGUAGCUGAUUGAAUAAUUUUUUGGUUAGGUGAAGAUGAUGGAAUUUUUUACCACAUCAGAAAGCAUUUGAUACUAUUAAGAUAUUUCAGAAGUUCAGUAUAUUAUCACUCACUUUAACAGGAGGACUAACUGCAAUAAUGUGUAUUUACAAUAUAAAUAACAGCACCCCGCAAUCAAAAUCUUUGAAACUCUAUUUGGUGAUG